AAAUUGAAGAGUUUGAUCAUGGCUCAGAUUGAACGCUGGCGGCAGGCCUAACACAUGCAAGUCGAGCGGAAACGAGUUAUCAGAACCUUCGGGGAACGA
rnacentral:rRNA from 1 species